GGCACCAUCGUCUAAUUGGCCUAGGACGCAGGACUCUCAAUCCUGAAAUGGAGGUUCGAUAUCCUCCUGGUGUCA
rnacentral:tRNA from 1 species